UUGAUGGGAAUUGCAGUGAAUUGCUAGACUGCUUUUGGCAGAAUGGUCAUUUUCACAAUGUUGAUUCUAUCCAUCCAUGAGCAUGGGAUGUGUUUCCAUUUGUUUGUGUUGUCUAUGAUUUCUUUCAGCAGUGUUGUGUAGUUUUCUUUGUAGAAGACAUUCAUGUUCGUGGUUAGGUAUAUUCCUAAGUAUUUUGUUUUUUUGCAGGUACUGUGAAAGGGGUUGAAUUAUUGAUUUGAUUCUCAUCUUGGUCACUGUUGGUAUAUAACAGAACUACUGAUUUGUAUAUGUUAAUUCUGUAUACUGAAACUUUGAUGAACUCAUCUACAAGAUUUAGGAGCUAUUUGGAUGAGUCUUGAAGGUUUUCUAUGUACAUGAUAACAUCUUCAGCAAACAGCAACAGUUUGACUUUCUCUUUACUGAUUUGGAUGCAUGCCCUUUAUAGUUCUUUCUCCAGUUGCUUUGGCUAGGACUUCCAAUACUCUAUUGAAUAGAAGUGGUGAAAGUGGGCAUCCUUGUCUUGUUCCAGUU